rnacentral:rRNA from 1 species
CGACGGUGAGUAACGCGUAUGCAACGUUGCCUAUCGAGGAGGGGGACUAACCCGGCGAAAGUCGGACUAAUACCGCAUGAAGCAGGGGCCCCGCAUGGGGAUAUUUGCUAAAGAUUCAUCGCUGAUAGAUAGGCAUGCGUUCCAUUAGGCAGUUGGCGGGGUAACGGCCCACCAAGGCGACGAUGUCUAGGGGUUCUGAGAGGAAGGUCCCCCACACUGGUACUGAGACACGGACCAGACUCCUACGGGAGGCAGCAG